UAGGGAAUAUUAGAAAUGGACGAAAGUCUGAUCUAGCAACACCGCGUGUGCGAAAAAGGCCUUCGGGUUGUAAAGCACUUUUUGGAAGGAUUAGGAAGGAAUGUACUUCCAGAAUAAGUCUCGGCUAACUACGUGCCAGCAGCCGCGGUAACACGUAGGAGGCAAACGUUAUGCGGAUUUACUGGGCGUAAAGCGCGUGUAGGUGGUUCUGUAAGUAGGGCGUGAAAGCUCCUGGCUCAACUGGGAGAGGCCGUUCUAAACUGCAGAGCUAGAGGAUGGUAGAGGGAGGUGGACAUCCGGGUGUAGCGGUGGAAUGCGCAGAUAUCCGGAGGAACACCAGUGGCGAAAGCGGCCUCCUGGACCAUUCCUGACACUCAGACGCGAAAGCUAGGGUAGCAAACG
rnacentral:rRNA from 1 species